GACGAACGCUGGCGGCGUGCCUAAUACAUGCAAGUCGAACGCAGUGGGGACGGGUGAGUAACACGUGGGUAACAUCCCAUAAGAGGGGAUAACACUUGGAAAAAGGUGCUAAACCGAUAUGGAUGGAUGGUACCGCGGUGCAUUAGGUAGUUGGUAAGGGAACGGCGCACCAAGGCCACGAUGCAUAGCCUACAUGAGGUGGUUGUCGGCCGCAUUGGUGCUGAAACACUGCCCAGUCUCCUAGGGGAUGCAGCAGUAGGGAAUCUGCGGCAAUUGACGAAAGUCUAACCGAGCAACUCCGCGUGAUUGAAGAAGGUUUUCGGAUCGUAAAACUCUGUUGUUAGAGAAGCGGUAUCUACCCAGAAAGCCACGGCUAACUACGUGCCAGCAGCCGCGGUAAUUC
rnacentral:rRNA from 1 species